GACUUCCUGCUCAUCUGCCGCUCCCUUUGCCGCCGCCUUAGCCCGGGACCCGAACCCAGCAUCUCCCCUACCCGAACACCGGCCCCGGCUCCACCGAGGCCCCGGUCCCCCAGCCCCGUCUCGCCGCCGCCAUGGCGGACCCUAAAUACGCCGACCUUCCCGGCAUUGCCAGGAAUGAGCCAGAUGUUUAUGAAACCAGCGACCUACCUGAGGAUGAUCAAGCGGAGUUUGAUGCGUAGAGAUGGGGUUUCACUGUGUUAGCCAGGAUGGUCUCGAUCUCCUGACCUCGUGAUCCGCCUGUCUUGGCCUCCCAAAGUCCUGGGAUUACAGACGUGAGCCACCGUGCCCAGCCUCAGUCACCUUCUUAACCCCUGACAACAGCAUUCUCCGCCUUAAUCUUCAGAUUAUUUUCAACUUUAAUUUUAUCAGUUUUUAAAGUAGGUAAUAUAUGCACAGGGAACAGGGGAUUCAAG
rnacentral:sRNA from 1 species